AGAUGAAUGAAAAUGAAGGAGAUAGUCAAGAACUCCAUAGGAACAAGAAUGGAGAAUUGUCUACUAGAACCAGAACUGUGGCGAGAUACCUGCGUCGAGUAAUCCAAAGAAAGAAGCA